GAUGAACGCUGGCGGCGUGCCUAAUACAUGCAAGUCGAGCGAACAGACGAGGAGCUUGCUCCUCUGAAGUUAGCGGCGGACGGGUAAGUAACACGUGGAUAACCUACCUAUAAGACUGGGAUAACUUCGGGAAACCGGAGCUAAUACCGGAUAAUAUAUUGAACCGCAUGGUUCAAUAGUGAAAGACGGUUUUGCUGUCACUAAUAGAUGGAUCCGCGCCGCAUUAGCUAGUUGGUAAGGUAACGGCUUACCAAGGCAACGAUGCGUAGCCGACCUGAGAGGGUGAUCGGCCACACUGGAACUGAGACACGGUCCAGACUCCUACGGGAGGCAGCAGUAGGGAAUCUUCCGCAAUGGGCGAAAGCCUGACGGAGCAACGCCGCGUGAGUGAUGAAGGUCUUCGGAUCGUAAAACUCUGUUAUUUGGGAAGAACAAAUGUGUAAGUAACUAUUCACGUCUUGACGGUACCUAAUCAGAAAGCCACGGCUAACUACGUG
rnacentral:rRNA from 1 species